rnacentral:rRNA from 1 species
UACAGAGGGUGCGAGCGUUGUCCGGAAUCACUGGGCGUAAAGGGCGCGUAGGCGGCCGGAUAAGUAGGAGGUGAAAUCUCACAGCUUAACUGUGAGGCUGCCUUCUAGACUGUCUGGCUUGAGCACGGUAGAGGCUGGUGGAAUUCCCGGUGUAGCGGUGGAAUGCGUAGAGAUCGGGAAGAACAUCGGUGGCGAAGGCGGCCAGCUGGGCCGUUGCUGACGCUGAGGCGCGAAAGCGUGGGGAGCAAACAGG